UACGUAGGAGGCAAGCGUUGUCCGGAAUCACUGGGCGUAAAGCGCGUGUAGGUGGUGCGACAAGUCUGCUGUGAAAGCGCCUGGCUUAACCGGGCGAGGUCGGCGGAAACUGACGUACUGGAGGCCGGUAGAGGGGGGUGGAAUUCCCGGUGUAGUGGUGAAAUGCGUAGAGAUCGGGAGGAACACCGGUGGCGAAGGCGGCACCCUGGACCGGCAUUGACGCUGAGGCGCGAAAGCUAGGGGAGCAAACGGG
rnacentral:rRNA from 1 species